rnacentral:rRNA from 1 species
UGGGGAAUUUUCCGCAAUGGGGGGAACCCUGACGGAGCAACGCCGCGUGCGGGAGGACGGCCUGUGGGUUGUAAACCGCUUUUCUCUGGGAAGAAGCUCUGACGGUACCAGAGGAAUCAGCAUCGGCUAACUCCGUGCCAGCAGCCGCGGUAAUACGGAGGGGGCAAGCGUUGUUCGGAAUUACUGGGCGUAAAGGGCGCGUAGGCGGCACAUCAAGUCAGAGGUGAAAGCCCCGGGCUCAAGCUGGGAAUUGCCUUUGAAACUGAUGAGCUAGAGUCCGGAAGAGGAUAGCGGAAUUCCCAGUGUAGAGGUGAAAUUCGUAGAUAUUGGGAAGAACACCAGUGGCGAAGGCGGCUAUCUGGUCCGGUACUGACGCUGAGGCGCGAAAGCGUGGGGAGCAAACAGGAUUAGAUACCCCGGUAGUCC